rfam:Oryza glaberrima chromosome 6 Oglab06_0077_3, whole genome shotgun sequence.
UUUAAUUAUGCACGAAGAUGACUUUUAACUUUAUUUUUGCAUCAUCACACUCUACAUAACACCAUUAUAUGAUGAUUAAUUAUAUGAUAAUAAGUUUAAUGAACAAUAUAAACAAAGUUCAACAAUACUACAACAUCGAUUAGUUGAGGAGACCAAAGUUCAGGAAAAUCCACAUGCCACGUCAUAGGAUUAACAACAUUUUCCCUGGUCACUUCCCAUUUUUUGUGGGCUGCAAGUCUACCAUGCUUCCUUCCUUCACGAGCUUUCAAUGUGUUGGGCUGGCUGAGCCGCUGGGGAACUUUCGGAAUUUUGACAGAAAUUACCGUACAAAUACGGUUACCGACAAAACGGACGGAAAAACCUCCAUCCCAUGUCCACUACCAUUUCCGAAAGAUAUUACCGUUUCCAUUUCCACCAACGUCGGCUACAUAUACCGACUGAAACGGUCGGUACAAACUGAAAACGGCAGCCGGAAAUCUCAUAAAUUUACGUACCGUUUUCACCCCUAGUAUUUUUUUGAUAUUUUUCUUUUUCAUUUGCCACCUGAGGUUUUGCCAUCCCAUGUCCUAACCGUCGGAUCAAGAGUUGAUGUACGAAACAUUGCUGACAGAUGAUUGAUGACUAAGUUUUGCUAACAUAUAAUUAGUUUCUGCUCUUAAUAUCGCUGACAUAUAUUUUGACUAAAAAUAUAUCUAAAAUUGCCAACAUAUAGCAUGUAUUGUUACCUAGUAUUGCCGACAUAUAGUUUGCCAAUAACUUUUACUAACAGAGAGUCUAUCAGUAAUUGUUUAUUUUUAUUGAAAGAUGUCUAUUGGUAAUGUUGUGUCAUGGUGUAGUGUGGUUCGAUGCGGCAUCAGCACGAGCACUUCUGGAUAUUGUCGCCGCACUCAUGUGGGAUUGCCAGUGAGAUACUGGAGGAAGGUGGGGAUGACGUCAAGUCCGCAUGGCACUUAUGGGCUGGGCCACACACGUGCGACAUAUGGCAAUGACAAUGGGAAGCAAGGCUGUAAGGCAGAGCAAAUCCGGAAAGAUUGCCUCAGUUCGAAUUAUUCUAUGCAACUCGGGAACAUGAAGUUGAAAUUGCUAGUAAUCGCGGAUCAACAUGCCGUGGUGAAUAUGUACCGGGGCCUUGUACACACCGCCCAUCACACCCUGGGAAUUGGUUUCACCCGAAGCAUCGAACCAACAGUCACCCAUGACUUCUAUGUACCACUAACGGAGGAGUACCCUCCCUAGGAAUUUGUCUUAGGAAUAAUUACUAACGUGGAGGAAUAUCCGUAUUGAGCUGUCACCAUCAGUGGCCCACCUCUACU